rnacentral:rRNA from 1 species
AUUGAACGCUGGCGGAAUGCUUUACACAUGCAAGUCGAACGGUAGAGGGGGCAACCCCUCGAGAGUGGCGAACGGGUGAGUAAUAUAUCGGAACGUGCCCAGUCGUGGGGGAUAACGUAGCGAAAGUUACGCUAAUACCGCAUACGAUCUACGGAUGAAAGCGGGGGACUCGCAAGAGCCUCGCGCGAUUGGAGCGGCCGAUAUCAGAUUAGGUAGUUGGUGGGGUAAAGGCUCACCAAGCCAACGAUCUGUAGCUGGUCUGAGAGGACGACCAGCCACACUGGAACUGAGACACGGUCCAGACUCCUACGGGAGGCAGCAGUGGGGAAUUUUGGACAAUGGACGCAAGUCUGAUCCAGCCAUUCCGCGUGCAGGAUGAAGGCCCUCGGGUUGUAAACUGCUUUUGUACGGAACGAAAAGGUCUCUAUUAAUACUAGGGGCUCAUGACGGUACCGUAAGAAUAAGCACCGGCUAACUACGUG